AUUGAACGCUGGCGGCAGGCCUAACACAUGCAAGUCGAGCGGAUGAAGGGAGCUUGCUCCUGGAUUCAGCGGCGGACGGGUGAGUAAUGCCUAGGAAUCUGCCUGGUAGUGGGGGAUAACGUCCGGAAACGGGCGCUAAUACCGCAUACGUCCUGAGGGAGAAAGUGGGGGAUCUUCGGACCUCACGCUAUCAGAUGAGCCUAGGUCGGAUUAGCUAGUUGGUGGGGUAAAGGCCUACCAAGGCGACGAUCCGUAACUGGUCUGAGAGGAUGAUCAGUCACAGUGUACAGAGGACACGUUCAAGAGUCCGAGGGGAGGCGAAAGGGGGAAAGAUGGGAGAAGGUGCGGAAGGCUGAGCCGUCAUGGCUGCUGAUGUGAAGAGGUUGUUAGGAUUGUAAGACAUUUUAUGUGGGGGGGAUGGGCAUUACGUUAAUCUCUUUUUGUUUUGAGGUUCCAAACAGACAACGACCCGGCACCCUUCGUGCCAGCAGCCGUGUAGUAUGAAGCGCUCACGUUUGAGC
rnacentral:rRNA from 1 species